rnacentral:rRNA from 1 species
AUUGAACGCUGGCGGCAUGCUUUACACAUGCAAGUCGAACGGUAACAGGUCUUCGGAUGCUGACGAGUGGCGAACGGGUGAGUAACACAUCGGAACGUGCCUAGUAGUGGGGGAUAACUACUCGAAAGAGUAGCUAAUACCGCAUGUGAUCUAAGGAUGAAAGCAGGGGACCUUCGGGCCUUGCGCUACUAGAGCGGCUGAUGGCAGAUUAGGUAGUUGGUGGGAUAAAAGCUUACCAAGCCGACGAUCUGUAGCUGGUCUGAGAGGACGACCAGCCACAUGUGGACUGGAAAAGGGCCCGGAAUCCUGCGGGAGGGAGCGGGGGGGAAUUUUGGACAAUGGGAGAAAGCCUGAUCCACAAAUGCACGGAACAAGAUGAAGGCCUUGAGGAUGGAGAGUGGUUUUUGCCGGAAAAAAAAGACGCUCCGUAAAAAAAGGGGUUAGUGACGGUACCGAAAAAAGAAACAACCGCCAACUACGU